rnacentral:rRNA from 1 species
AUUGAACGCUGGCGGCAUGCUUUACACAUGCGAGUCGAACGGCGGCGCGGGCUUCGGCCUGGCGGCGAGUGGCGAACGGGUGAGUAAUGCAUCGGAACGUGCCCAGUAGUGGGGGAUAGCCCGGCGAAAGCCGGAUUAAUACCGCAUACGACCUGAGGGUGAAAGCGGGGGACCGAAAGGCCUCGCGCUAUUGGAGCGGCCGAUGUCGGAUUAGCUAGUUGGUGGGGUAAAGGCUUACCAAGGCGACGAUCCGUAGCUGGUCUGAGAGGACGACCAGCCACACUGGGACUGAGACACGGCCCAGACUCCUACGGGAGGCAGCAGUGGGGAAUUUUGGACAAUGGGGGCAACCCUGAUCCAGCCAUGCCGCGUGCGGGAAGAAGGCCUUCGGGUUGUAAACCGCUUUUGUUCGGGAAGAAAUCCUCUGGGCUAAUACCCCGGGGGGAUGACGGUACCGGAAGAAUAAGCACCGGCUAACUACGUG